ACUCAGCAAUGAUGUAGGGUGAUAUGAAUGUUUCAUGAUGAACUCAUCUAUGAGGUGUUCCAUGAUGAACCCAGCAAUUGGGUAGGGUGAUAUGGGUGUUCAUUAUGAACCCAGCAAUGAUGUAGGGUGAUAUGGG